rnacentral:rRNA from 1 species
AGUGAACGCUGGCGGCAGGCCUAACACAUGCAAGUCGAACGGCAGCACAGUAAGAGCUUGCUCUUACGGGUGGCGAGUGGCGGGCGGGUGAGGAAUACAUCGGAAUCUACUUUUUCGUGGGGGAUAACGUAGGGAAACUUACGCUAAUACCGCAUACGACCUACGGGUGAAAGCAGGGGAUCUUCGGACCUUUCGCGAUUGUAUGAGCCGAUGUCGGAUUAGCUAGUUGGCGGGGUAAAGGCCUACCAAGGCGACGAUCCGUAGCUGGUCUGAGAGGAUGAUCAGCCACACUGGAACUGAGACACGGUCCAGACUCCUACGGGAGGCAGCAGUGGGGAAUAUUGGACAAUGGGCGCAAGCCUGAUCCAGCCAUACCGCGUGAGUGAAGAAGGUCUUCGGGUUGUAAAGCCCUUUUGUUGGGAAAGAAAAGCAGCAGGUUAAUACCUGGCUGUUCUGACGGUACCCAAAGAAUAAGCACCGGCUAACUUCGUG